UUAAAGCGGUACGCGAGGCCUGGGUUCAGAACGUCGUGAGACAGUUCGGUCCCUAUCCGUCGCGGGCGCAGGAAAUUUGAGAGGAGCUGUCCUUAGUACGAGAGGACCGGGAUGGACGCACCGCUGGUGUACCAGUUGUCCCGCCAGGGGCACCGCUGGGUAGCUAUGUGCGGAAGGGAUAAGCGCUGAAAGCAUCUAAGCGUGAAGCCCCCCUCAAGAUGAGAUUUCCCAUCGCGUCAAGCGAGUAAGAUCCCUCGAAGAUGACGAGGUCGAUAGGUCCGAGGUGGAAGCGUGGCGACACGUGGAGCUGACGGAUACUAAUCGAUCGAGGGCUUAACCAC
rnacentral:rRNA from 1 species